rnacentral:rRNA from 1 species
CGUCUAUAUACGUAUAGCAUAUCAAUAAGCGGAGGAAAAGAAACUAACUAGGAUUCCCUCAGUAACGGCGAGUGAAGCGGGAAGAGCUCAAAUUUGAAAUCUUCAAGGUUCUACCUUGACGAAUUGUAGUUUAAAGAAGUGUUUUCUGUAGUGGAGUUUGGUAAAAGUUCUUUGGAAUAGGACAUCAUAGAGGGUGAGAAUCCCGUAUUUGGUCAUUCCUCCUAGCUUUGUGAUACACUUUCAACGAGUCGGAUUGUUUGGGAAUGCAGUCCAAAAUGGGUGGUAAAUUUCAUCUAAAGCUAAAUAUUGGCGAGAGACCGAUAGCGAACAAGUACCGUGAGGGAAAGAUGAAAAGAACUUUGAAAAGAGAGUUAAACAGUACGUGAAAUUGUCAAAAGGGAAGCGUUUGACACCAGUGUUGUUUUUCCGAAAAUCAAUUACGAAUGUUUUAUUUUUGAGGAGUUAUGACUUCAUCGGCUUGCUCCUUUCUUUAUGGAACUUUCUUAAUGCACUUUUCGGUUAACAAGUCAACAUCAAUUUCUUUUGUUGUAAAAGGGUAUGAGGAAGGUGGCUUUCUUUUCGGAGAAAGUGUUUAUAGCCUUGUAGCCUCUGCAAUCGGAGAGAUUGAGGUCUGCAGCGUAGACUCUUCGGGGUUAGAUACAGUUUGUGCUAAGUUAUAGCUUUUCAUAGACAACUUGUUGACUAUGUUUAGUCUUGUAGCUUACUCGCUUAUGGCUAUUUUACCUACGCUUAGGAUGUUGACGAGACUGUCGAUCUC